GUCCCAGACUCCUACGGGAGGCAGCAGUGGGGAAUAUUGCACAAUGGGGGAAACCCUGAUGCAGCGACGCCGCGUGGGUGAAGGAGCACCUCGGUGCGUAAAGCCCUAUCGGCAGGGAAGAAACAGACGGUACCUGACUAAGAAGCCCCGGCUAACUACGUGCCAGCAGCCGCGGGAAUACGUAGGGGGCAAGCGUUAUCCGGAUUCACUGGGUGUAAAGGGAGCGUAGACGGCGACGCAAGUCUGGAGUGAAAACCCAGGGCCCAACCCUGGGACUGCAUUGGAAACUGUAUUGCUUGAGUACCGGAGAGGCAGGCGGAAUUCCUAGUGUAGCGGUGAAAUGCGUAGAUAUUAGGAGGAACACCAGUGGCGAAGGCGGCCUGCUGGACGGUAACUGACGCUGAGGCUCGAAAGCGUGGGGAGCAAACAGGAUUAGAUACCCCUGUA
rnacentral:rRNA from 1 species